GUCUCCUUCGUCUAGUGGACCAGGACACUGCCCUUUCACGGCAGUAACAGGGGUUCAAAUCCCCUAGGGGACGCCA
rnacentral:tRNA from 1 species